UGCGUAGGUGGAUAUUUAAGUGGGAUGUGAAAUCCCCGGGCUCAACCCGGGAACUGCAUUCCAAACUGGAUAUCUAGAGUGCAGGAGAGGAAAGCGGAAUUCCUAGUGUAGCGGUGAAAUGCGUAGAUAUUAGGAGGAACACCAGUGGCGAAGGCGGCUUUCUGGACUGUAACUGACACUGAGGCAUGAAAGCGUGGGUAGCAAACA
rnacentral:rRNA from 1 species